UACGUAGGGGGCAAGCGUUAUCCGGAAUUACUGGGUGUAAAGGGAGCGUAGGCGGCAUGGUAAGUUAGAUGUGAAAGCCCGUGGCUUAACCGCGAGGAUUGCAUUUAAAACUAUCAAGCUAGAGUACAGGAGAGGAAAGCGGAAUUCCUAGUGUAGCGGUGAAAUGCGUAGAUAUUAGGAAGAACACCAGUGGCGAAGGCGGCUUUCUGGACUGAAACUGACGCUGAUGCUCGAAAGCGUGGGGAGCGAACAGG
rnacentral:rRNA from 1 species